rnacentral:rRNA from 1 species
AUAGUUAAAGAAGAAAAAGAAGAAAACAGGGGUUCUGUUGAAUUUCAAGUAUUCAGUUUCACCAAUAAUAUACAGAGACUUGCUUCACAUUUGGAGAUUAAAUAUAACACCGACAGACCAAAUAUUUUCAACCACUCUGCUACUCAUACCUCUUAUAGAAUCUGGAAAAGAUUCAUGGGAGUAUAA